rnacentral:tRNA from 1 species
GAGGCUAUAGCUAAGUGGUAGAGCGUGUGCUUAGCAUGCACAGGGUCCUGGAUUCAAUCCCCUGUACCUCCA